GAAUGAUAAAACCAUAGAAGACUCUGAUGAUGUGCAAAGGAGCACACAAUCAGAUGAAGGGCAUGUGUUACUAAUCGAACCAUUCUAUGGUGGAUCUCACAAGCAGCUGGUUGAUCUGCUGGUCCAGAAAAUACCUGGCUGUGUCAAAUUCUGUCUGCCAGCAAAGAAAUGGCAUUGGAGAGUAAGGACGAGUGCCUUGUACUUUGCCCAAUGUAUAUCUGAAGUGCAUCAGUAUCGCAUUUUAUUUUCCAGUUCUGUUUUGAACUUGGCGGAAUUAAUAGCCUUAAGACCAGACCUUACUGAUCUCAAAAAAGUGCUGUAUUUCCAUGAAAAUCAGUUAGUCUAUCCUGUGAGAAAGCAGCAAGAGAGGGACUUCCAAUAUGGAUAUAACCAAAUUAUUUCCUGUUUAGUUGCAGAUGUUGUUGUAUUCAAUUCUGAAUUCAACAUGAAUUCAUUCCUAACUUCUGUGGAUUCAUUCCUCAAACUUAUUCCUGAUCACAGACCAAAAGGAAUUUCAGAUCAAAUCAAACCAAAAUGCAGAGUCCUCUAUUUCCCAAUUCCUCAGAUCACUUGCAACACAAGGCUGUCAAGACCAAAUGAUCACCCACUUCAUAUUCUAUGGGCUCAUCGAUGGGAACAUGACAAGAACCCUGAAUCAUUCUUUGAUGCUAUUUUUCAUUUGUUAGAGGAAAAACUUGAUUUCAAAGUGUCAGUCAUAGGAGAAACAUUUUCGGAAGUCCCCAGCAUAUUUGCUGAAGCAAAGACACGUCUAGGAUACAAAGUCAUAAACUGGGGGUAUCAACAAUCACGUGAAGACUAUGAAGCUGUCCUAAUGGAUGCUGAUCUUGCAGUCUCCACAGCUCGACAUGAAUUUUUUGGUGUCGCAAUAGGCUGUACAGCUAGGCUGUUAUCCUCUCUGCCCCAACAACCUGGCAUACCCAGAGAUAUUUCCGGAUGUUUACCUCUACUCAACUCAACAACAGCUUGCUAAGAAGCUUCGCUACUUCUGUAAGAACCCUGGCUUUGUCAGGAACCAUACGUUAAAGGUUGAUGUCAGUCGUUUCAGCUGGGAGAAUCUUGGCAAAGAUUAUCAGAAUUUAUUGAGUUAAACAGAAUGUAGGCUGUGAUUAAGCUACCAGACUGAAGGG